UGUGAACUCGAAGAGUAGGGCGGGACACGUGGUAUCCUGUCUGAAUAUGGGGGGACCAUCCUCCAAGGCUAAAUACUCCUGACUGACCGAUAGUGAACCAGUACCGUGAGGGAAAGGCGAAAAGAACCCCGGCGAGGGGAGUGAAAAAGAACCUGAAACCGUGUACGUACAAGCAGUGGGAGCACCUUCGGGUGUGACUGCGUACCUUUUGUAUAAUGGGUCAGCGACUUAUAUUCUGUAGCAAGGUUAACCGUAUAGGGGAGCCGCAGGGAAACCGAGUCUUAACUGGGCGUUAAGUUGCAGGGUAUAGACCCGAAACCCGGUGAUCUAGCCAUGGGCAGGUUGAAGGUUGGGUAACACUAACUGGAGGACCGAACCGACUAAUGUUGAAAAAUUAGCGGAUGACUUGUGGCUGGGGGUGAAAGGCCAAUCAAACCGGGAGAUAGCUGGUUCUCCCCGAAAGCUAUUUAGGUAGCGCCUCGUGAACUCAUCUUCGGGGGUAGAGCACUGUUUCGGCUAGGGGGUCAUCCCGACUUACCAACCCGAUGCAAACUACGAAUACCGAAGAAUGUUAUCACGGGAGACACACGGCGGGUGCUAACGUCCGUCGUGAAGAGGGAAACAACCCAGACCGCCAGCUAAGGUCCCAAAGUCAUGGUUAAGUGGGAAACGAUGUGGGAAGGCACAGACAGCCAGGAUGUUGGCUUAGAAGCAGCCAUCAUUUAAAGAAAGCGUAAUAGCUCACUGGUCGAGUCGGCCUGCGCGGAAGAUGUAACGGGGCUAAACCAUGCACCGAAGCUGCGGCAGCGACACUAUGUGUUGUUGGGUAGGGGAGCGUUCUGUAAGCCUGCGAAGGUGACCUGUGAGGGUUGCUGGAGGUAUCAGAAGUGCGAAUGCUGACAUAAGUAACGAUAAAGCGGGUGAAAAGCCCGCUCGCCGGAAGACCAAGGGUUCCUGUCCAACGUUAAUCGGGGCAGGGUGAGUCGACCCCUAAGGCGAGGCCGAAAGGCGUAGUCGAUGGGAAACAGGUUAAUAUUCCUGUACUUGGUGUUACUGCGAAGGGGGGACGGAGAAGGCUAUGUUAGCCGGGCGACGGUUGUCCCGGUUUAAGCAUGUAGGCUGGUUGUCCAGGCAAAUCCGGAUAAUCAAGGCUGAGGUGUGAUGACGAGGCACUACGGUGCUGAAGUAACAAAUGCCCUGCUUCCAGGAAAAGCCUCUAAGCAUCAGGUAACAUUANNNNNNNNNNNNNNNNNNNNNNNNNNNNNNNNNNNNNNNNNNNNNNNNNNNNNNNNNNNNNNNNNNNNNNNNNNNNNNNNNNNNNNNNNNNNNNNNNCAAAUCGUACCCCAAACCGACACAGGUGGUCAGGUAGAGAAUACCAAGGCGCUUGAGAGAACUCGGGUGAAGGAACUAGGCAAAAUGGUGCCGUAACUUCGGGAGAAGGCACGCUGGUGUGUAGGUGAAGUCCCUGCGGAUGGAGCUGAGACCAGUCGAAGAUACCAGCUGGCUGCAACUGUUUAUUAAAAACACAGCACUGUGCAAACACGAAAGUGGACGUAUACGGUGUGACGCCUGCCCGGUGCCGGAAGGUUAAUUGAUGGGGUUAUCCGUAAGGAGAAGCUCUUGAUCGAAGCCCCGGUAAACGGCGGCCGUAACUAUAACGGUCCUAAGGUAGCGAAAUUCCUUGUCGGGUAAGUUCCGACCUGCACGAAUGGCGUAAUGAUGGCCAGGCUGUCUCCACCCGAGACUCAGUGAAAUUGAACUCGCUGUGAAGAUGCAGUGUACCCGCGGCAAGACGGAAAGACCCCGUGAACCUUUACUAUAGCUUGACACUGAACAUUGAGCCUUGAUGUGUAGGAUAGGUGGGAGGCUUUGAAGCGUGGACGCCAGUCUGCGUGGAGCCAACCUUGAAAUACCACCCUUUAAUGUUUGAUGUUCUAACGUUGGCCCCUUACCGGGGUUGCGGACAGUGUCUGGUGGGUAGUUUGACUGGGGCGGUCUCCUCCCAAAGCGUAACGGAGGAGCACGAAGGUUAGCUAAUCCUGGUCGGACAUCAGGAGGUUAGUGCAAUGGCAUAAGCUAGCUUGACUGCGAGCGUGACGGCGCGAGCAGGUGCGAAAGCAGGUCAUAGUGAUCCGGUGGUUCUGAAUGGAAGGGCCAUCGCUCAACGGAUAAAAGGUACUCCGGGGAUAACAGGCUGAUACCGCCCAAGAGUUCAUAUCGACGGCGGUGUUUGGCACCUCGAUGUCGGCUCAUCACAUCCUGGGGCUGAAGUAGGUCCCAAGGGUAUGGCUGUUCGCCAUUUAAAGUGGUACGCGAGCUGGGUUUAGAACGUCGUGAGACAGUUCGGUCCCUAUCUGCCGUGGGCGCUGGAGAAUUGAGGGGGGCUGCUCCUAGUACGAGAGGACCGGAGUGGACGCAUCACUGGUGUUCGGGUUGUCAUGCCAAUGGCACUGCCCGGUAGCUAAAUGCGGAAGAGAUAAGUGCUGAAAGCAUCUAAGCACGAAACUUGCCCCGAGAUGAGUUCUCCCUGAGACUUUAAGUCUCCUGAAGGAACGUU
rnacentral:rRNA from 1 species